UACGUAGGGGGCGAGCGUUGUCCGGAUUUAUUGGGUCGGUAAAGAGCGUGUAGGCGGCCAGGUAGGUCUGCUGUGAAAACCUCGACGGCUCAACCUCGAGACGUCGGCGGAAACCAUCUGGCUAGAGUCCGGAAGAGGAGAGUGGAAUUCCUGGUGUAGCGGUGAAAUGCGCAGAUAUCAGGAAGAACACCCGUGGCGAAGGCGGCUCUCUGGGACGGUACUGACGCUGAGACGCGAAAGCGUGGGGAGCGAACAGG
rnacentral:rRNA from 1 species